UUCAGAAACGGUUGUGUGAUAGGGAAAAAGAAAUGGAAGCUGAUGACCGAUUUAGGAAGAAAGAGAAGGAAGAACUUGAGGAAAUCAAGCAAUUCUUACUGGCAGAAGGACCUCCAGAUCCAUAUGCAGAGCUCCAGAGGGUGCUUCCAAUAGUCCUGGCCAACUUAAUUCUGUGAAGCGAAAGAAACUACUUGUCGAUAGUGUCUUUAACAAAGUCGAGGUUGAAGACAGUGAUGAUGUGCCCAGAAAAAGGAAACUGGUUCCCUCGGAUUAUGGAGAAGAUGAUAAACUGUAAACACUGAUGAAAAGAGCAAGCAUAUUAAAAUUCUCAUUGAGUAAAUCCCCACA